AAAAUGUUUGAUUCCUAAAAAAAAAUUUAACAUUAAGUUCAUACGGAUGGUUUUAUUUCAGUUUAAGUAAACUUAACAAUUAAUUCAUAAAUAUUUUAAAACUCCCCGGUGAACUCGAAGCAAUAGCUACGCUUUCAGAACUAGCCUCUGUAUUGUCUUGCUCCUUUUUAACAACGCGCAUAGACUUGUCGAUAGAUUUAACAUUAAAUAUAUUUUCCUGACAAUACUGUGUGUACAUAGCUGAAACAGGAUGGA